rnacentral:rRNA from 1 species
AACGAACGCUGGCGGCAUGCCUAACACAUGCAAGUCGAACGAACCCUUCGGGGUUAGUGGCGCACGGGUGCGUAACGCGUGGGAAUCUGCCCUUUGCUUCGGAAUAACAGUUAGAAAUGACUGCUAAUACCGGAUAAUGUCUUCGGACCAAAGAUUUAUCGGCAAAGGAUGAGCCCGCGUAGGAUUAGCUAGUUGGUGGGGUAAAAGCUCACCAAGGCGACGAUCCUUAGCUGGUCUGAGAGGAUGAUCAGCCACACUGGGACUGAGACACGGCCCAGACUCCUACGGGAGGCAGCAGUGGGGAAUAUUGGACAAUGGGCGAAAGCCUGAUCCAGCAAUGCCGCGUGAGUGAUGAAGGCCUUAGGGUUGUAAAGCUCUUUUACCAGGGAUGAUAAUGACAGUACCUGGAGAAUAAGCUCCGGCUAACUCCGUGCCAGCAGCCGCGGUAAU